rnacentral:lncRNA from 1 species
CGUGAUAAGAGCAAGUCACGAUUACGGUAGUGUUCAAUAUUCUGGUCUUUGCUAUAGUUGUACUUUCAUUUUCGUUUUUUUGCGUGAAUCAUUUUUCAUUGUGGAACUAUUUAUAGUGCCAGAUAACUCCACUCGUUUCUGCCCUUUCCUUUUCAACUCCUGGAGCGUCUUUCAUUUUCUUCCUUGGUCCCGGACUCGAGGUAAUCCUGCGUUAAAACUCGGGCCAGAUCAGACCUAGACAAUGAUUUUAGAAUCACGAGUGGAUGCCGAUGGACUUUAACCUGGCGAGUAAAGACCCUCGAGUUGGAAAGACGAAGCAUUAAUUUUCCAUCAUGAGAUGUCGGGGAUAUCUCGAGUUAGAGCCUUGUCAUCGAGGGGAUCUGGAGUUGUCCGGUGCAGAUCUGCGUCGCGGGAUCCCCCGUUGAGUGUCGUAACCGGACGAGAAAAAUGGAUUCGCUCGUACCAGGCGAGGUGUAAUUGGGCCCGGAGAAAAAUGCAGUCGACCCAUCAUGCGGAAGCAGCGUCGACGUCAAUGAGCAGCGUUGAACUGCCGCGUCAGGCGUUUAAGGAGACGUUAAUUAGAACGAAGCGACGUAGAAGAGAGGCGCUCGUCGUAGACACCCGUUGUCGGUUCUCAUCUCGCCUUCGACUUUUUCCUCUGCAUCUCGAGGUGCACAGUUUGCUUUCACCUCGUAUCGAUCGACCACGAUCCCCCGUAAUUGCGCGAGAACCAUGAGCGCGACACCGUAAACUACUCCGGUUUUACGGCUUGGAUCCUCUCGAAUCAGCGAACCAUUAUGAAAAUACAGAAAGAUGUACACGUCGGAGAAAUUAACGCGAGAACUAGCGAUAAAGGCGAAACAGCUUCAGAAAUUGCGUAAAUUUGCAACGAUCCGUUUUUCGUUCUUUCGUUUCUCAUGAAUAAUGCGAAUACAAUAGUAUGGAAUAAUGUGUAAGAUAUAGAAUAGUUUAACCUUUUGCACUCGACGAUUUUUUCGUUACAGAAAAAUAGUAAUUUUGUCUGCCAUAAAGUCAGAAUAUUUUUAAAGCGGUAAGAAAUCAUAUACAAAUUAAGGCGUAGAAUUAUUCUACCUCGACAUUCCACGCAUCGUUGGGUAUUUUUAAGUUCGAUAUGUUAAUUAACAAGGAUAUUUAGAAUCUGAUGAAAUGGCGAUUGAAGGUUGCCUCUCGAGUGCAAAGGGUUAAUAUAUUUUAUAUAAUGCAUAAAAUAAUGUUCGUAAUAGUUGAAGUGGUAUACAUCAUUAGGCUGCAAGAAUUAAUAUCAAUUUCGCGAAAAGCAGCUAAAAAAUGUUUGCAAUUAGAGACACAAAGUCUGAAGCUAGUCAUACUGAUUCCUUCGAUAGUUCUAGUAUUAAUCGCUUCCGUUACAAUUUAAUUAUAAAGAACUUGGCAUUGUUUAAUUUUAAUUAGCCACUGUAUAUCUAUUUGGUUCGCAAGAAGAUUAUAAAGGGUUCGACACGAAACCAGACUCGCCAUUAUAGCGUAAAAGCAUAACGUAUUGUAUGCAAAAUAAAAAUAUUAUAAAAUAAUACUAAUCGAAAUAGUUGCGAGAUACGAGAAAGCUAGAACACGUGUAAUUGAAAAGCAAAGAAGACACCGAGAGUUCGUAUUUUAAGAAGGAACGUGUAACAGAUGUUAUCGAUAUUGAUUUAUAAGUUCGGAGACGAUGAUGGAUCAAUGGCUACCGACAACGAAGGUGGCGAUCGGAGGAUUCUAUUAGGCCCAUCAAAGAAAGGUAUUGAAAUGGAAGAUGCCGACGAACGUGCGCGACAAGAAGGCAACACUCGGUCGUUCUUUUGCUCGUCGCUUUAACGUGUCGCUUUUACGUGAGCCACAUAUUGCGUUACCGAUCAAGGAUAACGAGCUGGUACCUCGAGAAGACAGAGGCGAAGCAGUAGAAUUGUCUCUUCCUCCCUUCCACCUGAAAGAAUCGCGCAGUGUAAACGCUUUGCCGGAAGACGAAGAAAGAGUAACUAAUUAGGAUUGCCCAACUUAGACCGUUAGAAAAUUGACUACCCGAGUAAAUAAAAUUCGCAGGGACAAUAGGGUUCGAACGAGGUAUAAAGGAUAAUUGCCACAUAUAUGAUGAUGGAAAUAGUUUGGAACCAUACUACCAAAUCUCGAAAUAGUAGGAUAAUUCUCGAGCUUUUGAGCCCUGGUUUAUCGAGAUGCCCUACAGCCUCGAUAAGCCAAAAAUAUUUCAAUGACAACGGAGCUUUUCAG